rnacentral:rRNA from 1 species
GACGAACGCUGGCGGCGUGCUUAACACAUGCAAGUCGAACGGAAAGGCCUGCUUUCCCUUGUGGAUUGCGGGUACUCGAGUGGCGAACGGGUGAGUAACACGUGAGUGAUCUGCCCCCAACUUGGGUAUAAGCCUGGGAAACUGGGUCUAAUUCCCGAUAGGACUGCAGGGUGGUGCCUGUGGUGGAAAACGAUUUUCUAGUGGUUGGGGAUGAGCUCGCGGCCUAUCAGCUUGUUGGUGGGGUAAUGGCCUACCAAGGCGGCGACGGGUAGCCGGCCUGAGAGGGUGGACAGCCACAUUGGGACUGGGAUACGGCCCAGACUCCUACGAGAGGCAGCAGUGGGGAAUAUAGCACAAUGGGCGGAAGCCUGAUGCAGCGACGCCGCGUGGGGGAUGACGGCCUUCGGGUUGUAAACUCCUUUCGACCGCGAGGAAGCCACCUGGUUGGAAGGGUGGUGACGGUAGUGGUAGAAGAAGCACCGGCUAACUACGUG